UACGAAGGUGGCAAGCGUUACUCGGAAUUACUAGGCGUAAAGGGCAGGUAGGCGGUUUGAUGAGUCUGUUGUGAAAGCUCCCGGCUUAACUGGGAGAGGUCAACAGAUACUGUCGAACUUGAGUAUGGGAGAGGGUACUGGAAUUCCUGGUGUAGCGGUGAAAUGCGCAGAGAUCAGGAGGAACACCGAUGGCGAAAAGCAGGUACCUGGACCAUUACUGACCGCUCGAGCUGCGAAAAGCUAGGGGAGCAAACAGG
rnacentral:rRNA from 1 species